UACAGAGGUCCCAAGCGUUGUUCGGAUUCACUGGGCGUAAAGGGUGCGUAGGCGGUCGGGUAAGGCUGAUGUGAAAUCUCACAGCUUAACUGUGAAACUGCAUUGGAUACUAUUCGGCUUGAGAGUUGGAGGGGGGACUGGAAUUCUUGGUGUAGCAGUGAAAUGCGUAGAUAUCAAGAGGAACACCAGUGGCGAAGGCGAGUCCCUGGACAACUUCUGACGCUGAGGCACGAAAGCUAGGGGAGCAAACGGG
rnacentral:rRNA from 1 species